AAGUCGUAACAAGGUUUCCGUAGGUGAACCUGCGGAAGGAUCAUUAUCGAGUUUUGAAACCGAAGGUCUGUGCUGGUGCGGAAACGUACAUGUGCACGACUUUCGUGCUCAAAUCCAUCUCAAACCCCUGUGCACUUUGACGGUUGAAGCUAGUAGUCAGUAACACUUUUGAACUCGACUUAGUACUGCGAGUAUACAAGUACGACGGCUUUGCGGCCUUUCGAAAGUUGAAAGCAGGAAAGCGUUGAGGAGAAAGGGUGAAGGCGAACGCUUUGACUUAGUUAUAUUAUAAACCCUUUUAUUGUUAUGUGAAUGUAAUGCUCCUUGUGGGCGAUAAUGAAGUACAACUUUCAACAACGGAUCUCUAGGCUCUC
rnacentral:misc_RNA from 1 species